CGGGGGGGGCAAGCGUUGUUCGGAAUUACUGGGCGUAAAGGGCUCGUAGGCGGCCAACUAAGUCGGAUGUGAAAUCCCCAGGCUCAACCUGGGAACUGCAUCCGAUACUGGAUGGCUUGAAUUCGGGAGAGGGAUGCAGAAUUCCAGGUGUAGCGGUGAAAUGCGUAGAUAUCUGGAGGAAUACCGGUGGCGAAGGCGGCAUCCUGGACCGACAUUGACGCUGAUGAGCCGAAAGCUAGGGGAGCAAACGGGAUUAGAUACCCCGGUAGUCCUAGCCCCUAAAGAUGAAUGCUUGGUGUAACGGGUAUCGAUCCCUGUUGUGCCGAAGCUAACGCAUUAAGCAUUCCGCCUGGAGAGUACGGUCGCAAGGCUG
rnacentral:rRNA from 1 species